rnacentral:lncRNA from 1 species
UUUUUUUAUCAGUCAGAGGAUAAUGCAAGUGUUUAACAGAUGCUUCACUAUUAAAAUAUUUUCCCCCCAAGUCUCAAAUAUUGAAGAAUCUCUAACCAGGCUCGAAACGCCGGUCUCAGUGGCUAUUGAGUUACCCACCAAGUUACCCCGGUUAGAGCUGUUUGGGGUGGCUCACGUUAUUGCGGCAAACUUUGGAGAUGACGGCUGAGUCCUCCGGGCGAACAUGUCAAGCCGAUUGUAAAUGCUGUUAUUUCCACAUCCUUCAGGGACACCAGUCCCUACGAAGACCUUGGGCGAUUUUGAAGUGCGGGCACCUCGAUUCCCCGAAUCUGUAGUGUGGCUGGUAUCGGUGUUCCCCUGGUUUAACUAGCCUGUUUGAAGGCACAGAUCAUUCAUGGGGAUGUAUAACCGAAACCAGUCCUCUCCACCGCCUGGGGAUCUUCACUUUCGCAGUCUACGACUGCCUGUGACUCCAGAAAGACAAACUGCAGAUUGGCCAAGAUGGGGAAAUUGAGGCAGAGAAGCCAAGACAUGUGCUAAAGGUCAUGCAGGCUAUGAAUGGAGCUGGAAUGUGAACGCAGGCCAUAUGACCCCAGAGCCCAUGUUCUUGAACCCUUAGAAAGACAGCAGCAACACACCUGGUGCAGCAGCUGCUUAGUUGGAGUGGCUGACAAGGUUGGCAGAGGAUCCCGUUCCUCCCGUGGAGUGGCUGCCAUGAUACUGCCUGCACUGAAGCUGCUCCUAUUUCUGAAAUAUGUAUUGUUAUUUUUUUCCCUGCAUGUUGAACAUUAUACUCUUCUGUUCUUUCGCAUUCUCUUCUUCCCUUCCGGAUGACUUCUAGGGUUUUUGUGAUUCUGUAAUUCUAAAGGAGAAAGGAUAAUAAGAAUUGUGAGGCCGGGCGCGGUGGCUCAUGCCUGUAAUCACAGCACUUUGGGAGGCCAAGGUGGGCGGAUCACUAGGAGAGAAUGAUUUCCAGGAAGAGCGGAACACAUAUGGAAGGCCUUAGCUUAUCUUUAGCGCCUCAUACACCCGUUCUGGACUUCAGAAAGGCCAGUGAGUGGGAUUAGGCCUCAGAGAUAGGAUGUCAGUCCCAGUGAGGGAUGGCCUAGAGCAUUCUUUAAUUCUUUCCUUUGGGUCACACAUAAGAAACAAUUUUCCAGCACUGAUGAGUGUUAUUAACAAUGAGAUGGGAUAGAAUUUAGUUUUCCCUAUGGCUGUGCUUCAAAAAUAGAAAAGCUGUCUUUUCUCUGGAAUGAUUGAAUGAAGCUCUGGGGAGGAAAAGGUGGAUUGGCAGAUCUCUUAAAGGAAGCUUCUCCUUCUAGGCACUAUUCUAAGGCUUAAUAUUUUAACUCCCUAUAUUAACCUAGUUCAACUAAACAGUGAUCUGAGUAAUUUUAUUUUUAUUAAAGCUCAGAUCAAAAUGCCAUUAACAUUGAUUGAGAAAAUCAAAGGAAUCUUUGAUGUGAGUGGUUAAAUUGCUGAAUUAUUUCAGUCCCAUACCCUCACAGCAUGAGUACCUGAUCUGAUAGACUUCUUUGGAAUUCCUUUUUUGUUUGAGACAGAGUCUUGCUCUGUCGCCCAGGCUGGAGUGCAGCGGUGUGAUCUCAACCAUUGCAACCUCCACCUCCCAGGUUCAAGUGAUUCUCAUGCCUCAGCCUCCUGAGUAGCUGGGAUUACAGAUGUGCACCACCAUGCCCGGCUAAUUAUUUUGUAUCUUUAGUAGAGAUGAAGUUUUGCCAUGUGGGCCAGGCUGUUCUCAAACUACUGGCCUCAAGUGAUCUGCCCGCCUCGGCCUCCCAGACUGCUGGGAUUACAGGCGUGAGGCACCGUGCCUGGCUGGGAUUCCAUAAUAAAUCCCUCUGUGUCUAUUUCUUUUUUCAAAUAUAAUUUUCUUCAUUUCCAAACAUCAUCUUUAAGACUCCAAGGAUUUUUCCAGGCACAGUGGCUCAUACCUGUAAUCCCAUUGCUUGGAGAGGCCAAGGUGGAAGUUCAUUUGAGGCCAGGAGUUCGAGACCAGGUGGGCAACAUAGUGAAACCUUGUCUCUACAACAUAAAAAAAAAAAUAAAACCCUAAGGAAAUAAUGGUGCCUCACUACCUUUCAAAGCUUUUGACCUUCAAGUCAGAAAAUAAAUUAUUUUUAGGAAAGGCAUCUCAACCUUAUUUACAAAUGAACUAUUUGUCAAGAGCAACCUCUAUAAGGAUAAUAGGACUUCCUGGUUUGAAAUGCAGCAUGAACAAUUCUCAGAGGCUCCUGGAAGACUAAGAAUGAGGUUUCUUGAUCCGCCUUCCCUCGGCAUCUUCUCACUCUCUUCCCUCCUUCUCAGAAGCUGUGUGCAGCAAUGGGCUAUGCAACUGGUUUCACUGGUGCCUGGUAGAACUUUUAAUUCCUCCCUGUCAGCACAUCCCUAGUCCACUUUCAUAGUUUGGAUAAGGACUGGAUAAGCAGCUGAACUUCUGGGGACUUUUCCAAAUGAAAUUCAACCUUUAGACCUUUGGAGGUUUACCCAGUCUUCCUCACUACCCGAAGAUGAGUUUGGAACAAAUUUUCUCUUAAUGGAUUCUAUUUGUGGGUAGGAGAGGUAAUGACUGCCUUGCUCAGAGUCAUGAGCAUAACUUCAAAUAAGGAAAAAGAGCCUCGCAGGAAUGUGAGAAUAGAUGCGAUCCUGAGGAAGGUGUGUCUGAGGAGGUGCUGGGAGGUUCUGAUCGGCUGUUGAAGGCAGAUACUGUAUCUCACGUGACAGAAGUCACCUCCUGACAUCAGAGUUGUGUUUGAGUGGUAAUUUAAAAAAUAAUAUAGCUGACAAGGAAAUGUGGAAGGCAUUACGUUGCAAUACAGUGAAAUGAACAUACAACAUUCAAGAUCAAUUACCGGGUACUGAUUAGCUGGGAGAAAGGCAAUAAAACUUUAAAAAUAGAAUUGGUAGAAAUAGCACCCUGUCAAGGUGGGACUGACUAUGCCUCCUGCUGGUUUGUUGCGAGGAAUUCUUUUUUUGGGAAAAUCCUGUUGAAUUGUGUGGCUUGUGAAUCUGGCUCUAGAACUGUUAAUGUUAUAAGAAUUGAAAGAGGACUAUUUAAAAAUACCAAGACAUCUUUUAAAAUUCCUAUUUUUAGAACAGCUACUUGUCAUUAAAAUAAAUCAUUCCAUUUCUAUUUGUCCAGGUUACUGCUUUCACAGCAGGGCCAGGGCUAUGGUGAAGUGUGGGAGGUGCCCAGUCCCCUUCACUGCAGUCAUGGCUCUGUUUCAUGCCACAUGUGUUAUUUUAUAAGUGGUUAAGCCCCACAUAGGCAUGCAAACAUGGUACAUCUCUAUGUAUUGGUUUUGGUAAUGUUGUAAAUAAUUGGGAGAAUACAUUAAAAUUUGGUAAUAGUGCUCCUUUGGACUCAGUCUCUUUUUUUUUUUUUAAGACAGAGUUUCGCUCUUGUUGCCCAGGCUGGAGUGCAAUGGCAUGAUCUUGGCUCAUUGCAACCUCUGCCUCCUGGGUUCAAGCAAGUCUCCUGCCUCAGCCUUCCUGAGUAGCUAGGAUUACAGGCAUGUGCCACUAUGCCCGGCUAAUUUUGUAUUUUUAGUAGAAAAGGGGUUUCUCCAUGUUGGUCAGGCUGGUCUUGAAUUCCCGACCUCAGGUGAUUCCAGUUCUAAUUCCCCAACAGAGUUGUCUUGGUUGCAGUGAGAUAUAUAUAUAUAUAUAUAUAUAUAUAUAUAUAUAUAUAUAUAUAUAUAUAUAUUUUGAGAUGGGGUCUCGCUCUGUCGCCCAGUCUGGAGAGCAGUGGCGCGAUCUUGGCUUGCAGUGAGACAUUUUUAUCCAUCCUGAUCACAGCACUUGCCUCCGGGCUCAUGAAGCCCAGCAUGUUACUGCUGUUCUGAACGUCUCUGCUUUUUGAGAGACAUGUUUAAUGAAUUGGGAGUAUCUGUGCACAUUGCAUUCACUUAAAAAGGGAAAAAUACCUUUUAACAGUUAUAGCUACAGAAAUUCAAUUUAGUUUAUUUAGGAGGAAAUGAGAGACUUGAAUUGUAGGUGUGAAAUCUUACAAUCUUUCAGAAUGAUUUGGUUUGGGGGAUGGUUGGAACUGCAUGGAAUUCCUUCAGCCAAAAUAAUUUUUGUGAGCACAUUCCCAAGCUCACGAUCAUGUUUUGAUAAGAAAAAUCCCUUUCUCCACAAGUUCUCAGGUCCCACUCAUUGGCCCCUGCCCUCAUUUCUGGAACCUAUGUUAGGCAGUUAUGUGGCUCAGUUCUUGGUGAUAUGUUUUCAAUUUGAGUCAACUUGAUGAGAGAAAAAUUACUAAAAAGUGGGAAUGAGCUGUGAGGUGAACAGGGUUUUCCUAUCAAAGUGGAGGUAUUUUUAAAAGCAUUUAUUAUUUCAAACUCAAACAUUUAUAGAAAGCCAUGAGUGUGAAGUGUAUGAUUACCAGUUGUGGCUUGCUGCAUUGAAAAAUUCAAGUUCAUAGGAAAUAUUUACUGAGGCUCUGGUUUGCAAGCAGUUUGUUCAAGAGAACAAUUUGGUCCAGAAGGCAUGUCAGCCAAAAAAGAGUUUACUAAUAUAGUAGUAACAGGCAAUUAGGAUUCAUAAGCAUCGCCAUGGCUGAGACAUGAUUUAAGGUCUUAGAUGGAAAGAGUUCUGUUAUUAAGAUAACAGAAUUUAAAUGCUGUAUCUGUCUAGGUCUUAUGCAUGUCAGAAGUGAGAAAACUACUUCUUCAUUUUCCAUUUUUAUGAGCUCUGAUGUAACACAGUUUUUUUUUUUUUCUGUGUUGAAAAUGAUGAAUAUAGUUCUUGGCACAUUUGUUCCAUAGUAAAGAAGAAUUUAACUUGCAAGUGAAAAACCUCUGCCUUUGGCCAUGGAUUAAAAAGAUGUUAUAUGAUGAAGUUUACUUCCUAAGGAAAGGUUAGUUUUGUGUGGCACUUUCUGAAAAUUUGUUUGGGACAUAUACAAUUCUUUUGUAUAAAUUCUGGAGGUCUGAGGAAAAUUACUUAAUCACAUUAGAUGAGAACAUUUCUUUUUGUGUGAAUUGAGUUCUUAUCAAGGUUCUGAUGUUUUUUCUCAUGUAUUUGCCCUUGGGUUCAUCUCAAUACAAUGCAUUUGUGUACUAUUGAAUAAAAAGCAGGCUGCAACAGUAUUUAUGACAUAUGAUCCUAUAUACACGUAAAAUCUUGUGUGUGUGUUUGUGUGUGCACAUGCAUAUAAAAAAAACUACAUUGUUAAAGUUGUUAAUAGUUAACUCCCGGUGGUGGGUUUUAAGUGAUUAUUAUUUUCUUUGUAUAAGAAAAAUAGUGCACAGUUUUCUUUUGUUGUUACGAAAGGUGUCAUACAUUUGAAAGAGGACAUAUGCACAGUUUAAAUAAUAAUAACAUAGUGAAUACCCACUGCUUGGCUGAAAAAAAUAAUUUAUUACUCUGUUGCAGAAGGCAAGCCUUCCUUCUGCCCCUGCCUCUGUCAUGGAGGUAGCUACUUGCUUGAAUUUUGUGCUAAUCAUGUCUUUGCUUUCUUAUAUAGUUUAGCCAGCUGUGAAUGUCUCCAUAAAACAUACACAGUUUUAUUUUGAUUGUUUUUGAACUUUAAAUAAAUGAAAUCAUACUGGAUAUAUUCUUCUGUGACUUUUCCUUUUUUUUUGCUUCUUAUUUUUUGGUCAUUCAUCCGUGUCAAUGUGUGUAUCUGAUUUUUUUUCUUUGAAUGUGAAAAAUAUUUCAAUCACACAGAUCAAUCAAGUUACAGUCAUUUUGAAAAAGGAAAACCUCAUACGUACAUUUAAAAAUAUGUGCUGAAACAGUGCUGAAAUAACCAGGCUUUUGUGAGUGAAAAUUUUUUUAAUCCAUUCAUAUAUGUCCACAUGUUGAUGGUAUAACAGCUGCCUUCAGAAUAUUAUUUUUAGGGAUCACUGGCUGCACCCAUAACACAGAAAUGCCUCCUUUUCCUGCCCCUGCCAUUAAGCCACUGUGUCUGAAAUUCAACCAUUAGCUAUUUUUCCCUGAGGAUUUUAGGAACUGUCUUCCAAAAGAGAAAUUGUGUCAUGCGGCGAUUCAACAUGAGCUAGUUUAGCCAGUGAUCAGCUUUAUUACCUUGACAGAGAAAGAGCAGGUCUUAAGGAGCAGAGGAAGGGGGUGGGGGUAGCUUUAGACCUUGAAAUGUUUAGAGGGCGAGCUUCAGUGUGGCACUGAAAUGAGGACUCAGAAUAAACAAGGUAUGGAAUCAGUCUUAGGGUUCAUCCGCAUACACAGUGGAAUACUAUGCAGCCAUACCAUGUUGCUGUCAUUUGCAGCAACAUGGAUGAAUAUGGAGGCCCUUAAGUUAGGUGAAAUAAACCAGGCACGGAAAGACACAUACUGCGUGAUCCCACUGAUAUGUGAAAUCCAAAAAGUUGAAACCACAGAGGCAGAGAGUUGAAAUGGUGGUUGCCAGGGGCCUGUGAGGGUGGGGAGAAACAGUGUUGUUGAUCAAAAGAGACAAUAUUUCAGUUAGUCAGAAAGAAUAAAUUCAAGAGAUCUAUUUACCGGGCGGUGACCGCAGGUAAUAAUAAUGUAUGGUGUAUUUGAAAAUUGCUGAGAGUUUUUCAGUGUUUUCACCAUAGAUAAAUAUGUGAAAUAACAUGUAUAUUAAUUAGCUUGAUUGAGCCAUUUCACAACAUAUACAUAUUUCAAAACAUGGAAUUGAACACCAUAAAUAUAUAGAACUUUUAUUUGUGUAUUCAAAAGAGUUUGGGAAUCGUAAAGGAAAGCAAAGAUGCAGUGAAGAGGCAACAUCCAGGUGUAUGCGAUGCAGAGAAAGGAGUUGGGAAUGCAACACUUUAGCCACUUGAUGACCGUGCCCAUAUGCAGUGACAAGCACUUCUUGAGUACCUAGUGUAUCAGGUUUUGUGCUAGGCAUUCACAAUUGAAAAUAUAAGAAGUAAGGCAGUCCUUUCUUUUAAAGAACUCAUGGCCUAGCGGAGGAAUAAGAUACACCAGCAAUCUUUGCUCCAGGUCCCAGAUGAUUACUGAGUGGGCACAAAAGAAGAAUGGACUGGUAGUAGGGGAGACUUCAAAAAGGAGUGAUGCUUGAAGGAUGCGUCUGGUGGGCAUAGAAGGGGAGGUCAUUCCCAUCAGAGAGAAGGCCAUUUACAGAGGUACAGGGGUAUGAGAUUAUGGAGUCCAGUGACUUGCUGACACAUGUGACUGGAGUGGUGGGGCCAUCCUGCACCGCCAAAGUGAUGGCUCUGCAGCCUGACCUUGUCACUCGCCCAUUUGAAAUCAUGCCAUACCUCUCCUGCACAGCACAUAUUAUUACACUUGGCCUCGGUCCCACCUCUCCUACUGUGCUUCUCAAAUUAGUUUCCUUAAAUGGUUCUCUGCAUCACAACUUUCUUAUUUAUAAAAAUAGAGAAUGACAUCAGAGCACCUAAACUCAGCUUUCUGUUUUUUUCCACAGAGAUCCUGGCAAAUGGGUGUUUCUUCCCAGAAAGGGAUUUUUCUCCAUGACUGCAGUUGAAUUGCAGAGUUGUAGAGACAUCCAGGUUCUUGUUAGUGUGGACGAACUAUCCAUGAAGAUCUUAAAUGCAGGAGUCUAUGAGAACACCAAUUAAUCAAUUGUCAAAUAUUUGAGUAUCUAUU